GCCGGCUUAGCGCAGCGGUAGCGCGUCAGUCUUGUAAACUGAAGGUCGGCAGUUCAAUCCUGCCAGUCGGCA